UGGGGAAUAUUGGGCAAUGGGCGCAAGCCUGACCCAGCAACGCCGCGUGAAGGAAGAAGGUCUUCGGAUUGUAAACUUCUGUCAUUGGGGUCGAAGGAAGUGACGGUACCCAAUGAGGAAGCCCCGGCUAACUACGUGCCAGCAGCCGCGGUAAUACGUAGGGGGCGAGCGUUGUCCGGAAUUACUGGGCGUAAAGGGUGCGUAGGCGGCGAUGCAAGUCCAUUGUGAAAAGCCCGGGCUUAACCUGGGAGGUGCAGUGGAAACUGCAUGGCUUGAGUGCAGGAGAGGAAAGUGGAAUUCCUAGUGUAGCGGUGAAAUGCGUAGAUAUUAGGAGGAACACCAGUGGCGAAGGCGGCUUUCUGGACUGUAACUGACGCUGAGGCACGAAAGCGUGGGGAGCAAACAG
rnacentral:rRNA from 1 species